AUUGAACGCUGGCGGAAUGCUUUACACAUGCAAGUCGAACGGCAGCACGGGUGCUUGCACCUGGUGGCGAGUGGCGAACGGGUGAGUAACAUAUCGGAACGUAUCCAAUAAUGGGGGAUAACUAAUCGAAAGGUUGGCUAAUACCGCAUACGCCCUACGGGGGAAAGCUAGGGACCUUCGGGCCUGGCGUUAAUGGAGCGGCCGAUAUCUGAUUAGCUAGUUGGUGGGGUAAUGGCCUACCAAGGCGACGGUCAGUAGCUGGUCUGAGAGGACGACCAGCCAGACUGGAACUGAGACACGGUCGAGACGCCGACGGGAGGCAGCAGUGGGGAAUUUGGGACAAUGGGCGCAAGCCUGAUUCAGCCAUUCCGCGUGAGUGAAGAAGGCCUUCGGGUUGUAAAGCUCUUUCGCAAGGGAAGAAAACUUAUCCUCUAACAUAGGAUGAGGUUGACGGUACCUUGAUAAGAAGCACCGGCUAACUACGUGCCAGCCGCCGCGGUAACAC
rnacentral:rRNA from 1 species